CUGAAAGCGACUACCGGACGCUAGUAAAAACGUCCGCCUAAAAAGUGCCAUACAAAAUAAGCCAUGACAAUGUGACAGUGAGCCAGCAUGCAUAAUAUCAAGACCCUGGAACUGAAGCAGCUAAGUGGAAUUCAGCCAUCAUUAAUUUUAUUAUUUACAUCUGUGCUCAUUAUGGCUUGCAGACUUUUUGACUUGUCAAAGAAAAGCAAUGGUGUAACCAAUGGACCCUGAACCUGGAACUCCUACAUGCACCGAAGCCAUCAUUAAUGACAAUAAAACCACGUUUUAAUCUUGCAUGUUUUAAUCUGGCAACGCUGGAUCUGACCUCCAGGAGGAAGCGAGGGCUCUCUGGCAUGAAGACGACUCCGACAAGUGCAGCCAGCGCCGGGAAGAGACACACCAGAAUGAAUAAUCUCCAACUGUGGAUCUGGAGCUCUGAACCGAUGGCGAAGCCCCAGCCUGGAAAACAAUCCAGCACACAGCAUUGAGGGAUGAUUCCCCAGGCGGUGAAGGAGGCGUACAGGCCUCCCAGCAUCCAGAACAUGCAGAGCCAGCUCAGAUGUUCUCCACGUUUAUCCAUCUGCAGGAACUCGGCGAAGUAGGUGUACACUAUCGGGAUGGAGCCGCCGAUUCUGGGGGGAGGAAUCACAAGAGAUCUCAGAAAAUAAAUCUCUUCUCUUCCUCACUAAACACUUUCAUUUUGUCCAUCACUCUCUGAGGAUUUAGAGGAUAAUUUUCUGUGAUAUCUGGCAUUUGACAUGUUACUAUUGGUUAAUGUUUGUGAUUUAGGAUUGUAAGCGUAUUGUUCUAAUGACUUGGUUCACCCAAAUUACACAAAAACGUAUGUUCUCACCUACUACUGAUAUCUACUGCAGAUAAUUUUACUCUAACUCCACCCCAACACAUUGGAGGUGCAUGGAGUUAAAUUUUUAGUGCUCAAAACAUUAAAUAUUACAUUUAAAAGACUCAUCA